UACGUAGGGGGCAAGCGUUGUCCGGAAUCAUUGGGCGUAAAGAGCGUGUAGGCGGUUCGGUAAGUCGGCUGUGAAAGUCCAGGGCUCAACCCUGGGAUGCCGGUCGAUACUGCCGGACUAGAGUUCGGAAGAGGCGAGUGGAAUUCCCGGUGUGAGCGGUGAAAUGACGCAGAUAUCGGGAGGAACACCUAUGGCGAAGGCAGCUCGCUGGGACGUUACUGACGCUGGAGACGCGAAAGCGUGGGGAGCAAACAGG
rnacentral:rRNA from 1 species